AAGCUUAUAGAAACCGAGAAAAUUAUGUGCAGCAAACGCAAGCUUCACCUAAAUGCUUAAAUUUGCAAAGAUAUGUACAAAAACGACGUUGCUCCGUUUCUUCAGCUUUGAAAUCGACGUUUGGCGGAAGUAAUAAAAGUCAAAUGCGUCAAAGGAUCAUCGAAUUGAGCCGGCAGAAAGCUGCAAAGACGACUGGUCUUGUUCGAUGACGUAUCAAUGUGAGUCCGAAUCUCUACGUACUUGUGAAUUUGUUGCAAAACUCGCCUCGACGGCUGGCGAAUUUCGGCACGU
rnacentral:misc_RNA from 1 species